rnacentral:misc_RNA from 1 species
AAGUCGUAACAAGGUUUCCGUAGGUGAACCUGCGGAAGGAUCAUUACCAAAUCCAAAAUACCCAACCCCUUGUGAACUAUUGUUUGUUGUCCUUGGAGGGGAAAUAACUUGUAAGAAAAUAAAGAAACAAAAGUUCUCUACUUUAUGCCUUUUAUUUUGUUCUGGUGUGUCCCCUCCAAAAGAAUCCGGCACUCCGGUGCUUUGUGAGAUUCUUGAUAAACCACAGAUUUCUAUUUUUUUCGGAAUGACUUUUAUUUAAAUUAAUAAAGGACAACUUUUAACGGUGGAUCUCUUGGCUCGUG